AUGGGAAGAAGAGAGUGUCAUUCCACAAAAACUUUGGGACUCUACAGAAAGAUGCCUCGACCCCAAGUUCCUCAAGCCCCUUGCUGCCUAUGAAGCCGACUUUAGCCUGCUUCCAGCCCGUGAUGCCCAGGGCCUGCCCUCAGCAAGGGCGCACCGCACCAAUGCAUUGAUUUGGUCUCAGUUCCUGCUCUGUCCUGCUCAGCGGAAAAUGUGUGUAUGCCAAACUCUGCAGAAAGCUGCGUGCAAAAACCCUUCAGCUGGCCUGAGCCUCUAACAGUGAUGGGGAAGAGUCCCCCAGCACCCCCUCCUGGCAGGGCCUGGUGUGGACCUCCAACGGAAGUGUCCCACGUGGAGUGGUGUGAGCUCGUGUGAGGAACCUUGGCAGGGACCACUGUUCUCUUGUUUGUAUCUCUUCUCAGGGGAGGAAGGAGAGGCAAGGGUUGCGAGUGAACAGUGGAGGCUUUCGAUUUAGGGGAGGAAAUUCCCAGGAAAGGGGGAAGUUAGGAGGGGAAGUCUUCUCAAAGCAAUGGCAAAAAUAUUCUCCAACUACAAAAACAUCUGAGAAAGAAUUCUUCUCUUGGGGACUGAAAGGAAAAACAGCUUUAGCUCCCUUCCCCAGCAGCUCAGCAUCCAUCCCUGAUGGUCUCCCUGGGCCCUUCGAGCUCUGAGGGGGCAGGAAGGCGUCCACGCCUGGAAGCAGGGCCUGGCUGCAAGCUCACCCUGGACGGCUGCCCAGCGACCAAAUCACCACCAAAUAUGGGCAGAAAAAUGCAUGAUUCAGAGGAUAAAAAAGCCAAGGAGAGCUGCCCUGAGGAAUAGUUUCCACUCAAUGCUGUGUGACCCUGGUGGCCUGGAUCCCUGAAGCAGCAGGCCGCGCGGGGCUGAGGCAGGCUGUGGGCAGCGGGCACCAAUACACUCUCCACCUUCCUGCUUCUCAUUCAGCCUUCCGCCAGGGCAUUCUCCCUCCAAGACAAAGCAGGACAUCAGUGAAAAGGAGGUGGGAAGGGGACUGUCUGCGGUAGUCGCAAGAGGUCCCCAGAGGCCCCUCAGACCUGGGGAACUGGCUGAGGUCACCAACUGCAGAGGCGCCAGCUCCAUCCCCUGGGGAGAGGGGGAACAGGGUUUUCUGUGUGAGCACAAGAGGCAGCCCUUCUCCCUGGAUCCCGCAUUCCAGGGGCUGAUCCCACAUUCCAGGGGCUGCGCCAAGGUCCCCAGAGCCUCCUGACCCCUGGAGGAGUCCGGUCAGUGCCUCGGCCAUGCCCCCUCAGAGAGCACGGGAUCCAGGAGGGGGUGCUUCAAACUGACUCAGUUGCAGGACUCAGCCCCAUGUCCCAACACCCCCAUGACGAAGGUCCAGCUCCAGAUAGCUCCCCUGAGGAAUGCGGUGGGGGUGGGGGUGGGUUUCGGCUUCUCCCGGCUCUGAGGACUGAAUCCGCCUUGCUGGGUAGGCUGUGUGUGCACAGGCAACAACAUUUCAUGUCAUUCAACCAUGUACAGCCAGACCAUGGGCAAGCCACCUUGGGGUCUGUGAUGCAUCUGACCUCUGGCUGACUCAUCACACAAACAGUUCUGAUCCAAACUGGCUGAAGAGAGAAGCUGCAGAUGUGUUCACAGGCCCAAGGGGUCAGAGGCAGAGGCCUCUUGCCAUCAUCCUGCCUGCUUCAUGUGUAUCAGGGGACCCAGGCCUGGGAGGGGGGCACACACAUUCUACUGUGUGAGCGGAUGGGCGGUCCCUCUGACACACCACCUGAUGCCCCUUCGCCCACUAGCUGCCACUUAAGGACUUAGGGUGGUGCCCACCGGGGGCACUGUGGGUAUUUCAAGGCCAGUGUGGCUCCACUUCUUGGUCGUGCUUGCCCCAACCUCCCAGUACAAAGCUGGAAAGCAGUUUCCUUGCCGGUCUCUCCCCCACACCCCCUGGCCGCAGCCAGGAACUGUGUGCUUCCUGACAAAGUACAGACAUGAAGUUCUCUGUGCCGGGGCGCGGCGGGACCUUGCUGGCUGCCCUGUAAGUCCUUCCUCCUUGGGGGCGGGGGUAGGGGGGCUCUGCUUGGGGCGCCUCCAGGGUCUUACCACACCCCAGGUCACUAAAAUGCAUUUCCAACUCAGCAGCUGCGAGGAGAGCCUCGGGCAGUCGGGCGGGGUUCUGUCACUCUGCCAGCUCCCACACCUGGCAAAGGCCACCUAGUGGCCUGGAAGGACUGACUGGGAGUCCCCGGAGAGAGCACCCCUGCUACGUGACAGAAAUCUUGUUUUCUUGAGUGAACGAAGGGAGAAAGCCUGGGCCUCUUCCCUUCCCUGCUGGGGUGUGGCCAGAGGGAGGCGGUUUUAGAAAGACGGUCCUGUCCUGAUCUGAGCAGUGCUGGGCCUGCAGCACACCGCCAGCCGAUGACCCCCAUGCGGGCCCAUGAGGUCAGCCCAGGGGGAUACAUUUCAGGGGUGUUCAUUCUCCUGAGCAGCCACUCCCUCAGCCACCCGCGGUGUCUGGCUGUGGUGCCACUGUAUUCCUUACAAAGUGGCUCCCAAAUCUGCCCCUUUAGCCCCUCGUCUGUGAGUGUGCACAUGGAACCUGCUAGGCAGGAAGGGAUGAGGUUCCUGUGAAGAAAAGACCUUUCAUUAUGGUGGGCAAGAAGGCCACGCGGCACACAGUCGGUGGGGGAAAAGACAGACAGAGGCAACUCAGGAGGAGACAGAAUUAGCAGGUAGGUCCAUGAAUUCACCUGCUGUUUUCACUUGUCCUUCACCUCCUCAUGUCCCUACAUGACCCUCAGUCUCAAGGUUUAUCCUUGUUAUCAAGUCAGAUGUUUUUCUUCUUGUUCCCACCGAAGAGACCCAGAACUGGUAAUGGGGCAGUCCUUGCAGCAGAAUCAAGAAAGCCCAGCUGAAGACCGGAGG